UGGGGAAUCUUGCACAAUGGGGGAAACCCUGAUGCAGCGACGCCGCGUGAACGAUGAAGCCCUUCGGGGUGUAAAGUUCUUUCGACGGGAACGAUAAUGACGGUACCCGGAGAAGAAGCUGCGGCUAACUACGUGCCAGCAGCCGCGGUAAUACGUAGGCAGCAAACGUUGUUCGGAAUUACUGGGCGUAAGGAGUGUGUAGGCGGUUUUGCAAGUUUGGUGUGAAAUCUCCCGGCUUAACUGGGAGGGUGCGCCGAAAACUGCAAGGCUCGAGUACUGGAGAGGAAAGCGGAAUUCCUGGUGUAGCGGUGAAAUGCGUAGAUAUCAGGAGGAACACCGGUGGUGUAGACGGCUUUCUGGACAGUCACUGACGCUGAGACACGAAAGCGUGGGGAGCAAACA
rnacentral:rRNA from 1 species